ensembl:lncRNA
CCUCCUCCGUUCCUUAAAGGGAUAGCCAUCAUUUACUCAUCCUCUUGCCGUUCCAAACCUGAAUGACUUUCUUUCUUCUGUUCUGUGGAACACAAAAUGGAUAUUUUGAAUAAUGUACUAGUCACUGUUUUUACGGAUAAGAUGGAUAAGAACUGAUCAAAGGAAACUAAAGGCCUACUUUGCAGUGCUGAUAAGCUCUCUUUAAGCACAAGAACUAUGUUCAUUUUUGCUGUUUAGAAAGGAGAACAUCUGUUUUAGUUAGUUAAUGUUUUCGGACCACAGAGGAUGUGGUAACGGUUUCAGACACUGUUAUUUAACCACCACAGAAUGUGGCAGGAAACGAUAGCGCUUCGCUGAUGGCAACAAAGAAAUUUUGAGUCAUGAGAGAUCCGAAGUCCAUACACAAGAUCUUCUGGAUCAUGGAAUUUCUGCCUUUCGCUUAAAAUAUAUUUAUGUGUUCUGUUAUAAGGGAGAAAACAAACUUUGCAGGGUCUUCAUGCUCAGUUAUGUGGUACCUGUCCAUAGUAUUUACCUUCACAGUAUAUGGAACCCAUGGUUGUGUGAUAACCAGUCCAGACCAGAAGGCUAAUGCUGGGACAGAUGUCCAUUUGUCGUGUAAUUUCUGGCAAUGUCCUGGACCUCUGGACAUCAUGUCUCUUAGUGUGGAGUGGGAAUUCAAGGAUAUCUCCUCUGAGCCAAAAAUAAUCCUCUACUACAUCAGAAAUCGAACUGUACCACUUCCUGGUGUGUUUUUUCAGGGAGAUGUCGAAUUAGGGAGUUUUGAUAUACAUCUCCCGUCUGUGACCCAUGAGAACAGUGGAACUUAUUUAUGUAGAUUACGUCUCAAUGGCAUUUUUCACAAGAACCAAACACACCUUAUUGUGCAAUCAGCACUGACCAGGAGAAACAAUCCAGGUGUAAAUCAUCUGCAGAAACGUCCUCCCUGGUUGCUGCCCCUGGCCUCAGUGGCAUCAGUGGCUGGGUUUGUGUUACUAAUUGGUACAGUUUUUUGGGGGAGGAAAGCUUACACGUCAACCCAGAGAGAAAACAACUCAAAGCAAAAUAUGGAAGAGGCUAAAACCAGCACUGAUGCUGAAGACAAGGGAAUUAUAUAUAAGGUGGGAUUCAGCAUGCCUGACCUCGCAGACGUGAACAGUCCACCUAGCAGUCCAGAUAACAUCUAUGUUACCAUGCAUGGUUUGCCAUUCGCACCAGAUGUUCCUGCCACAGCUGGACGCAACAGACGUCUUCCCUCUGAUUGGCAGCUGAAGGAUGAGGAACCCGUAUUUGUCCGCUGAUACCAAGAUUUAUUAGUCAGAUCAUGCCACUUGAAAGAUGAGACACAGAAUAAGUGAUUAUUUAAAUUAGUGAGAGUAAGUAUUGUCAGAUAUGCAUUAUAUAGUCCCAAAACAGACUGUUUUGUGUAUUAUUUUUCAAUACUCACCAGCUGUACAUCACUGUACAUUAUCCCUCAUAAUAAAUCUGUUAUUUCCUCAUGCACCUCUUUCAUCAUCUACCAGAUGUCAACAGUGGUCAAUAUAGUUUAGUUACUGCACUUCUUGUGAGCUUCAGCCCUCGACUUUUUCCUAUCUUCUCAAUGACUUCUCAUCAGCAUGAAAUUGCCAAUUCUUCUAACUGUCUCUCUGUCUCUGAAGAGGCAAACAAAAUUGCCCUGCAGUGGAGAAGUGGUUUUAGCAUUACACACUUAAUUAUUCAUGCCAACUGUCCUUUGAGAUUUAAGGAAUCACAGAUCACGAGUUUUGUAAAUCACAAUAAACUAGUUGCUAACCAUUACUGGCAUCAAGGCACACCCUCAAUGAAUGUGCUCUCAUUUCACUAAUCAGAUAAAUAGGCUACACUGCCUACUGUAUAUGGCUAUGUAUAUCUUUAAUAAUCAUCAUCGUAUUUUUCGGCACCAUUCUCAUCCCUUGUGUGCAUUUCCACCUCCUGCUCAUCUCUAGUGCACUUUGAUCUCCAUUAGUGAGGAGAUGAGGAGAGGUUGUCCAACUGCAAGCUAGAGCCUUAUUAUUUGGUUUUGCGUCAACGGCCGUUUGGAUUUUCUUAGGCUGAUUUCUGAUUUUUCUCAAAUUAUGUGACACGUGUAAUAUAAAGAUGCAUUCAGAUUUUUUUUUUUUUUUAAAUCAUGUAAAACUGAUUCAUAUCAUAUUUUAUUUGCUGCUAUUAUAGUAUAUUGUAACAUGGUUCAACUGAACCCGACAAACAACAAUCCACAACCAUACUAUCAACCAGUUUUCCUUCUACAGACACUGCCAGCCAUAUCAUAGCACAAAAUAAAAACAUUUUACGUGUUUUUUUUAGUAUAAUUGAAACGAAAAAAAUAGAUCUCAAAAGCUUUUCUGUUUUUAUUGUCCGCUACGUUUAUUGUCAUCGACCAAAAUGCCUAUUUUAUUGCAUUUUGGGAAAACGCAGUGGGCGUCUUCUUUGAAAUUAUCCUGCGUUGCAUUGAUGGUAUUUCUGGCCUGUCCAGUGAAUUCCAUGGAUGUGCUGGUGCCACCACAGAUCCUCACUCUCAAUGGGACUGAUGUCAGAAUCCCCUGUGCAUUCACUUCAUGCUACAAACUGGACCCCAGCAAGUUUGCCAUGAACUGGACCUAUCAGGAGACAAGCAACAGUACAGAAGAAAUUUUCAUGACCUAUAAGAACAAGAUAACACCCUUGAAGUCGACCCGAUUUGGAGAUCGAGUCAUAUUUUCUGGAAACCUGGAUAAGAACGACCUGAGCAUCACUAUCUCAAAUGUGCAGUUGACAGACGAGGGCAUCUACAACUGCUAUGUGCGCAACCCUCCAGACCGCAUUCGGGGCCACGGCAUCAUUCAGGUCUUCGUCCCGACUGAAUUGCCGCCACCAAGAGAUUCGACCAUUGCUGUUGCCAUUGGGGCAUCUGUGGGGGGAAUUCUAGCUUUGCUCAUUCUGUCCAUGGUAGUGGUGAAGUGUAUUCGCAGACAUAAGAACCAGGAGCUGAUCUCAGAUGAGCAGAAGAUGGAGGAAGAGGGCAAAGCAGAUGGAGAAGGAGGCACAGAAGAAGCAACAAAACAGCCCUAACCGCCAUCUUAGCCCUGGAGGUCUAACGGAUGGUGGAGCUCAAUCCUACACAUUCUGAAAUUUAAGCCUCCUGCCUGAAGAUAUCUAAGACCUUGUUUGACUCUUCAUCCUAUAACGGUCUCAUUCAACAUUCCUCGGUUUUCUCAUGUAGCAGUAGCAUGUCAUAAAGGAAGAUCUCCACCACAGUGCCAUGGUGUCCAGUUACCAGUGAGAAAUCACAAAGGGUUUCAAACUGCCUCUUCCACUCAAUACAACAGGUUAAGGUGAUAACUUCCUGCAGAACUCUUCGUUUAGACCACCCUUUUUUCAAAGUCAAGUAAUGUAUUUUUUUUUCUUCUGCCACUAUUAGCACUAUUAAUAUCAGCCAUCCAGUAUUUCUGCUGAGAAUUUUCUAAAGAGAUGAAUUUUAAAUUAUACAAGGUCCUCUUACAACUGCCAAAGUGUUUUUACCCUUAUGGUGUUUAUACAUUUUAAGAGUUUCUUGAGAAAUCACUGCCCUCAACAACCUCUCAAGUGGAUGUAGAAACAUAACGUGUGUUUGUGUGUGCCUUCUCAUUGUGCCAGUUUGCUUCUGCUGGGUCUAGAAGUUUAUGUUCUUUUUACAGCAGACUAUUAGGCAGGACCAUGACUAUACAUCAGUGUUCAAAAUCUAUAAUUCGUUAGUGUACAGCACAUUGUACACCUCCAAAACAUGUACAAUCAAUGCAUGACAAUUUUCUUAUGCAUGAUACACAAUUUGCACAAAACAAAUCAUCAGUUUGCACAAGCAUCUGGCAUGUUCCACAAAUAGGGUAUAUUUUGCUGUUCCAUGACAUUUUUUUUAAAGUCUUAGAGGCAUUAAUCCUAUGUUGUGUUUUUGGACCUAUUAGAUAUUGCAUAUUUGUUAUCUAACAUGAAACUAAUUUAGCAUGAAAAGUGUUUUUUUUUUUUUGUGUUGGUUUGUUAAUUGGUAAUUUGGACUUCCACCUAAGAGGACUUGGUCUUCAUGACUAUCUAACAAUUAAAAUCACAGAAAAGCAUCAUAAUUUUAAAAGAUGAAAAGUAAAAGUGAGUGAAUUCUUAAUUUCUAAUUAAAUAAUUAAAUUAAAAUGCAUUUUGAGGCCCCAAAAAUAAGCUAGUUUGAAUGUUAAUAAUCUCUAUUUUCCCAAUUCUGAAUAGACAAAAGAUCAAACAAAUAUCAUACUGAGUGGCAGCUUAAUUUAUGCCAAAUUUGUUCCAAUUUGCAAAAAAAAAAAAAAAAAAAAGGAAUUUCAGCUAUUUUACACCCUAUUUAUGGAAAAUGCCAUUUCCAAAACAUUGCUUUCACACAUAAACAUCAUUUCAGGUGCAAUGAUUCGUUAAACAUGAUCUAUUUAUAGAUAAAAGCGAAACAACCUAUACACAAAUUUGAUUGCUAAUAUUAUAGAUUGUGUUUGACAUGUAUGUUGUGGUGUGUUAUUGAGAAUGUGUGAAUUUAUUUUACAUGAGUAUCUUAUUGAACGUAUAAGCUGUGAAAAUAAUUUUGUCAAUACUGAAUUUAUUAACCUCAUAAUCAAAUUUCACACAUAAUCAUAUAAUCUGUUCUGAAAGGCUAAAAUGGUUUUAAAUUGAGUAACAAGCAAAUGAAAGAUAACGGAUUAAUGCGCAUUUAAUGGAAAGAUUAAAAAAAUAAUCAAUUAUGCAUGACAUCAUAUCAUAUUUGUAUGCAUACAGAGGAAAUACAAAACUUUUUUUUUUUUUUUCAUGUGAUGGGAAUCCAUUUUGAUAGUGAAACACAGUGAUUGUGAACUUUCAGUGGACUCGUGGUAAUAGACUGCAGACUGUGUAGUAGAUUAUGUAGGGAAUGGGGCAGGUCCCCUACAUACCUUCUGCUAAAUCAAACAAUUUCAACAAUUUUCAGAAUAGCCUCAGUAUUAUUACAGCAUAUUUUGUGCUAUGGUCAGGAAAUGUGAGUAUUAAAUAGUUCUAUUUGAUUAAAAAAUAAAUAUAUCAAAAUAUAUAUAAUAUGUUUGUAUAUUGUAAUCUUCUAUGAUGUCGAAAAGUAGCAGUAUAUGUCUAAUUUAAAUAUUCUGUAUAUUUAAAUUGAAAAAAAAGACAGUAUCAUAGAGAUGUAUGCUCAUUUACAAAUGGUUUUGUUCUACAAAAUGUUCUGAUAUAAAACCUCAUACAAGAUAGACAGUAUUUGUAUGCAGACCAUAGGAGUAAAGUAUUCCAGCACUUAAUUCACCAUGUAUGAUUACUUAGUGUGCAUGCUGUAACACUGCAUUCUUGCUGCACAGGCCCAAAGCCUGGAGCCACAGUGAUACAUAGGCCAGGGAGCCUCACCCUCUGCUGGGCAAAGCCGACACCCACACUGGCUUCUGUUUACUCACACUUUAACUCACUCAGUCCCCUUCUGACUGGCUUAUUUUAUUAAUUUUUUAACUGACAUAUGUGUUAUGUUACACUUCCACAUCCUAUUGUACUCCAAUACAUAUUUAAUAAAUCAAAUUAUAUUGCUUGUUGUUAUAUGAAAAUGUACUUUGAAGGAUUGCUGUGAUACCUCUAAAAUGUUGCUCCAUUUUGACCUCAAAUUCAUUGUAGGGAAUGUAUCUAUUAUUAUUGUUCAUUUGAAUGUUUAAUUCAGUAAUGCUUUAUUGUAUUAUGAACCAAAACUGAGAUUUGCAUAUUGUGUAAUCAUAACUGUUAACUGUUAUUGCUAUGUAUUCAAUGAUAAUCAUGUAUUCAAUGACACUCAGUUACACAUGUACAUUGUAUUUUUACCACCGUGUUUUGCAUUAGAUAUUUGCAUAAUGUGAGCGACAUCAGGCAUCCACAAGAUGUUAAAAAAGGCUCCUAAAGGAUAUAAUAAAACCAUUAAGCUCAUAAUUUGAUUUGCUGCACAGCAGUUAACAUUAAGCCAGCUUCUGAAAUCCAGACUGAGGCUUAAUGAUUUUAUGGCUAGCGCUUUAGUGGUUGCCAUUCAUAGGUUUAGUUGCCAGGAAACAUGACUCCAAAUCCCUGAUUAUCUAGCCUGAUAUUAUACUGAAGGUGAAUUGUAUCAUCACAUAUAUAAUGCAACCAUGAUUGUACUGCCUUGAUGUUUUGUUUCUGUUUUGCAUUUGCCUUCAAGAUUUCAUUUGUACAUCAAGAUCAUUCAAACAUAACAUUUAUGUGGGCAUAAAAAAAUAACAGCAGUCCAGCGAGGUUGGUUGGAAUGGUUUGGGGACCAGUUUUUGCUUUAUUUUUUUCAUCAUGCAUGCCUCUGUUUAGUGUCUCGCUGAAGGUCUGACUCUGGCCUACUUUAAAUACAUACUGUAUACUUGCACUGCACCAUAACUAAGAGCUGCAUCACUGAUUGUUUUUUUUUAGUUUUGGUUUUGUCUUUUCAAUAAAAACAAAGAAACAACGCAUUUUGGUUCUGCCUCUUUUUAAAUCUAAAAAUGUUUUAUUAAUUAAAAGUAAUAAUAUUCAAAGAGAUAGUUCCCUCAAAAAUGUAUUAAUUUACUCUCUCUCGUCAUGUUCAAAACCCAUGACUUACUUUCUUCUGUGGAAAUCAAAUGAAGAUGAC